UAAAGGCUGACGUUCUAAGGGGAGCUGCUAACUCCUCCUUAAAGCGGUUAAACUCCGUUUGCCUUUUA
rnacentral:tRNA from 1 species